rnacentral:lncRNA from 10 species
CCCACUGCUGGGUACUUAAGCUGUAGAAAGUCAGAGGCCUGUCCCUAGUUCUGCUGGAGUGGAGCUGAGAGAGGCUCUUGGGAGCUGCCUGCGUGGGCAGAGUUUGAAGGCUUAGGAUAUCUCCUGAAGGCCGGAUGGGCCAGUAGAGAUUAACGAGGCUUGAGCUGUCUUGAAAGAUGGCUGCCCUGAGAACUGGCUAGAAGAGGAGACCAAGGAGGCUGUGUGGGUCACCCUUGCAUUGGAGAUGAGGGGAGUCGUGAGAGAUCAGUGGGGAGCCCAUUGCCCUGUUGGGGAACUGCCUGGUGGAGCUUUCCCAGGGAUAUUUUAAAGAACCUACAUGGGAGAAAGCCUGCAUUUGGACAUCUUCCAGGCCAUUCAAUAGCCAAAGAGAACCACCAACAGCUUGAAUCAAAAAAAAGUGGGUCACUGACAAGAAAAUUCACCUGGAGGCCAAAUUGUCUCUAAUAACAAGUCCAAGACAUGCAUUCCAGCUGGAAUCCUCUUCCCGGAUGGUUGUGUGUUUUUAAUUGCAGUAGCCAUCUCCAAAAAUGCCAUCCAGUAACCAUGCCCUUGUGUGCUGCCCUUUCCAUGAAUCUGAGCUAGCCCCAUAAUUUGCUUUUGGCCAUUGGAUGGUGGUGGAAGUGAUGCUGUGUGACUUUUGAAGCUGAGUUACAAGCAGCCUUGGACAGUCUUUCUAGACCUCGUGGAGGGCUCACUCUGGGGGAAGCCAACCAGCAUGUAAGGAGCAUAACUGCCCUGAGACCGCCGUGUUGUUAGGAUGCCCAGCUAGCUAUGUGGAGAAGCUGCAUAGACUGAGGGAGAAGCCCAGCUAGUCCCCAGUUAUUCCUGCCACCCUAACUGAGGCACCAGACCCAUGAGCAAAGAAACCAUCAUGGAUGUCCUGUCCCAUCCAGCUUCUGUGACUGUAACUGUAUGAGGACCCCAAUGAAAACCACACAGCUGAGCCUAGUCAACACACAGAGCUAUGGAAGAUAAUAGUAAAUUGUUGCUUUAAGCCACUUGGUGUUUAUUCAUUUGUUUGGAGGGGGUCGGGGGCAGAGAGAUUAUGCAGCAGUCGAAAACCAGAACACUUGCAUAAAUCUCUAUGAAGCUGGACAUCUCUCUAGACCUGAAGAAGCUCCAGAAUGCCCUGAGCCUGGCAUGACUACAGGGCCACUCUAUUCCCCCGCUGGAAUGAUCCAGAGUGCCAGGAAAACAGGCCCUUCACACAAGGCCCUGAGUCUGUUUCCUGGUUCCUCCAUGACUAGCUGCAAAACUUUAGACAAGCCAGUGCUCUCUCAGCCUGAAUUUUCCCAUCUGCAAAGUUAGGCAAUAGAGUCAAUGGAUCAUCAAAGAUUCUUCUGCUUCUCUGCCUCAUGAAAUAUCACUCUGUGCCUAAGAGAUGAACACACCACCUAGAAUUCCCCCUCUAGGCGUGCCCUUUCUCGGUUCACUCACAUGAUAGGCAUAAAGGCACAAGGAGAAAGGAGCUCAUCUGCGCUGUUUCUGGGCUUCAGGAAUCUCCAGUCACCAAGUGAGGCUGUGGGAGGGCCAGACAUGCCAGCCAGUACCCAGGUUCCCAGCUCCAUGCCCCUCCUCAGCCUCCCUUGAGUUUUUCAGUGCUAAAGAGGGAGCACCUGCUCCAAGGCCCAGGUAGUUCUGGAAUCCCAGCUCUACCUGAGAAGAGGAAGUUCCUGCCUGCCAAAGAAGAGGGGCCUCCUGAGAGGAGUAGGCUUCUCGGUGGCUGCAAAGCGUCUGGUGACAAUAUUUGUGUCUAAAAAUACAGCAGCUGAGAACCAGCUAAUUGCAGCCUCUGGAGUCAUUCAUAGCUCAGCGUUUCACACCACACUUGCACCUCUUCCAGUGUUUCUCAGGAGCUGCCACGAAGGAGGCCACUUAUGGGUGGAAACCCAGCCAGGAGGGCCCAGGAUUGGGCCUAAGGUCCAGGGCAUCCUUUCACCCAAGAGCCCAGCCUGGUACCAGUAUGUAGCUGGCACCUAGGAAUAGAGCAAAGAGAGCAAGUUUCUCAAGUCAGCUGAAUCCCCCCCCCUCUACUCAGAUGCCCUUGGCCACUUGCCCAUCAGGAUCCAUUCAGACCUGUUGGGGCCCCUCAAAAGGCAAUGGCCCAGGUAUAACUUCAUGAGUGAGAUGUACUCGAAGAGAUGCACAAGGUCCAGGAAUUACCUUGCUGGAGACGGCCUUCUGUCCUGGACCUGCAGCCGGCAGGGUGCUAACCUUUGAGCUAGGACCUCUGCUGGACUGGGUCAUGGGCUAAGCAGGGGUUGGGACCCCAUAGCUCCCUGCUGUGGAUCCUCCUUUCUUUCAGAGCUUCUCAGAUGGCUCCUGUCUCGUCUACCAGGAUAAAGGGCAUGACUCAAGGUCACAGGAUGUGACGAUCUGAGAACUUCAGCCACAGCCUCUCUGGUGCCCCACACUGCCUGAACACACAGUGGACGAAGGUCAUGGCAAAAGUAGAAGGAACCCUGCGUGGGGAAUGUGUUUGCCUCAGGCUUUAGGAGAAGGAAUUUUUUUUUUCUUAAUCAGGGAGGCAUUUUAAAAGCACAAAGCCAAACUAACAUUUGUGUAGUAUUUUUCACUUGGCAAAAUGCUGUCACACACCUAGUGCUAGGUGGUUCCCAUGUUAAUUAGAUGAGGUGGUUAUUAUUAUGGCGUCCACUUUAUGGGUAAUUAAACUGAGGAUCAGAGGGGCUGAGUCAUUUCCCCAGGGUCACCAAAGUCAUGACCAGCCUUGAACUCAAGUCAGGAGCCCUCCUGCUGGGUCAGCAGGCCCAGCACCGCCUCCUGGCCCAGCUUAGAAGCUUGACUAGUCAGCCCCAUUGGGGUCCCAGAUUACAGAAAUGCCACACUCCGGCCACACAGCCCUGAAUCCAACCUAAAUCCAGCUCCAUCAACUUCCCCCUAUCUGCGAAAUUCAUUUGAAUCCCACUCUGAAUCUGGAUCCAUUAACCUUUGACCUAUGAGAAAUGAGUCAGAGCCUAAGAAAAAGCGGGCACCUAGAGAAAGCAGGGAGCAAAAAACAGAGUUUCUGAGAGCAGGGGCCCUCUGCUUGAUGGUCAGCUCCUCCCCUGGCACCUGGGCCAGGUCAGCCGAUGCUCUGUGUGGCCAAGAGAGGGCCAGACCUGGCCUCUGGCUGUGAGUGGCUGGGACGGCGAGCAAGACCCAGCUACAUAUCUGUCUUCAGCCCCUGCAACUGGGAGAGCAGCAACUCAGAGAUCAGCCGUUUCACCCUUCUUCCUAAUCACCGCGGGCGUGAUGGAACACCUUGACAUUCUUUAACGAAAGUUCAACUCCACUGCCACUCGGGGCGCUGCAUGAGGAAUGAGGUUUAUGUUGAAUCCCAGAAUCACAGAAAUUAGAGAUGAAAAAGGACGCUGAGGUCAGAGGCAGCCCAUCCCCAUGGGGCCAAGUGCACGUUCUUCUCGGUAAUAGACUUUCCCUUUAUUCCUCCAGUCCAGGUGGCUGCCUCCCUGAAGACCAUUCUCCACUGUUUCUUGGAGAAGACACUGUUGAUAGAAAUGAGAAGUCUGUGCUGAUCCCUGCAUGAUUUGCUUUGAAAUUUAUUAAUCAUCCAAAAGCUGGUGAAGAGGGGAAAAAAGAGAAUGUAAACUCAUCUGGUAGCCAGCGUGCCUGAGUGCGAAGAAGGAGGAGAGCCAGAACCCUCUGGGUUUCCAGCUUGCUAUAGCUCUAGGGCAGCAUGGGACAGUGUAGACUGAUCACUGACUUGCUAUGUAACCUGGCAAAAUUUUGACUUCCCUGAGCCUCAGUUUUCUCAUCUGCAAAAUGGGAGCUCAUGAUGCCUAUGCACAGGGCUGUUGGAAGAUUAGAGUUAACAAAGGUUUAGCACCUCAUAUUGUGCCUGACCCAUGUGAAUUACUCCGUAAAUGGUAACGAUUAUUACUAACAUUACUUUAUGACUCUCCCCUCUCCAGAUCCGUGUCCCUGUCUGUAACACAGGGCUAAGCAAGUUCUUCAGCUAUUGGGCUUCAUCCACUCAACAUUCCACUGGCACUUCCAGAGCUGCCACCACACUUCAGACUCCCAAGGCUAACAAUGACCAAGAAAGACAGAUUCUCUGACGUCAUGGAACUUACUGUCUUUAUGAAUUUCCAGGGAGAAGGGUGCUAAGAUGCUAACAUGGAUACUAACCAUCUGAUGCAAUAUUCUGCUGCACAGAUUGUGACCUAUGACUCACUGGGACAUGAUAGAGGUCACAGAAAUGCCAAUGACAUCCCAAAGACAGUGUGGGAGUGUGUUGUCUAGCUUCUUAGCAAACCCCACCCCCACGGUGGCAUGACCCCUGCACCAUCUUCUCCCACCCUGGGAUCUCCUUCCUACCCCUCUGCCCAUGUCAAUCUGGAAGAAGUAUGUGUGCAUCACAGGAGUCCAGGCUUUGAGCCUGGGAUCAGCACAGUUCCUGACUCUGACCCACACACCAUGAGCCAAAGCUCUAGACCUUUCAGAAAUUCUUCACCAUCAGAAAAAUGGAGGUGGCACGCCCUGCCGCAGCUGAUCAACUUCCCAGAUGUGCUGCGAGCCUGCAGUAAGAGAAUGGAUGUGAAAGUGCUUUGUAAACUGAAAAUUCCAAUGAGAAAAAUCCAUUAUCAUUAGGAGAAAGAGAUAGAAGUGGCCUGGCUUUGAAACAUGGUGCUAUCCCCUAGCAAGCAGAGGAGGAGCUUCCAGACAGAAAAUGGUACCUUUCCCCAGAGUCUAUGUUGAGGUGCACCAGCCUUUCCAGUCCUGAGAAAAGACAGAGUCAUGGCUCCAGGGCAGGUGGGCAUGCCUGUGUCCCAGGAGGCACUGUUCUUCCUGGCCAGAGACCCAUGCCCACUUCAGAGGAGCCAUGAAGGAGAAACACCAGGCCACAGUGGAGGACUGUGAUCAAGGAAAAAUUGAAGAACUGCUGCAGGAAAUUGGAGCUGCCAAUCUCCUAACAAUUGGAAUUUUUUUAUACUGUGCAUUUCACAAAUGUAUGAGAUGGCAGAAGGACUGAGGACCUGGGGAGGAGAGAGGAGGAAACUGGAGGACUGUGAACGUGGCCACGUCUUUUCCAAUGGAGAGAAAACUCAAUCGGAUCUGGGCACUCCCUACAUUUCUCCACCUCCUGCCGCCCCCGUGAGCCACUGCAGGGAGAUUUUUCUGAAUAAUGGAACAUUUUCCUGUUUUAAUCAGAUGCAAUUUUGCAAGCAGUUUUUAUGAUUUAGCAAGUCCAUUAAAACUGGCAUUUGUUCUGCUCUGACACUCGAAAGGGGCUCCACAGAGCAUAAACAUUGGAAAUUACUUGUAGGGAGAGACAAUAUUAAAAUUCCCCAGCCUGGGCCUGUUGUUUGAGAAAUUCUGUUAUCAAGCAUCAUGCCAGCUACGAUCAGAGGUGCUUGAGAUAUAUGCUGCUUCCUCUUUACGCACUAACUGGGGGCCUGGGAACUCAGGCAGCAAUAAAGUCGCAAUGCUGUUAUCUCUCAGCACUUUUGGCAUCAGGAGGUGAAUGGGUCUUAAGGAGAACUCACUGGAAGAGCAGGUCACGAAGUGCAAAAUCUCAAGGAAGAGGAACUCAGACACUCCCCAUCAAGACUUGGUGGAGUCUCUUAUGCCUCCCCUUGAACCUGGAAGGACUGUGUUACUCCCCUGGCCAAUAGAACAUGGUGGAAGUCAUGCUGUGUGAUUUCUGAGGUUAGAUCAUAAAAGGUAAUACGGCUUCCAUUUAGUGUGUGUGCACACUAUCUCUCUCUCUCUCAAGAUUCUUGCCCUUGGAACUUGGGCACCAUGCCGUGAGGAGCCCACAGCCAUAUGGAAAACCUACAUGUUGUUUGGACCAACAGGUCCAGCUAAGAUCUCAGCAGCCAGCCAGCACCAAUCACCAGACAUGUAAGUGAGCAAGUCCUGAGAUGAUUCCAGCCUUCAAAGCUUCCAGAUGAGGUGCCGGACAUCGUGGAGCUGAGCCCUAUCCCAUUCCUGACCCACGGAAUCUGUGGGCAUAAUAAAUCGCUAUUUUA